rnacentral:rRNA from 1 species
UACGUAGGGGGCAAGCGUUGUCCGGAAUUAUUGGGCGUAAAGCGCGCGCAGGCGGUCCUGUAAGUCUGAUGUGAAAGCCCACGGCUCAACCGUGGAGGGUCAUUGGAAACUGGGGGACUUGAGUGCAGAAGAGGAAAGCGGAAUUCCACGUGUAGCGGUGAAAUGCGUAGAGAUGUGGAGGAACACCAGUGGCGAAGGCGGCUUUCUGGUCUGUAACUGACGCUGAGGCGCGAAAGCGUGGGGAGCAAACAGG